CGAAGCAACGCGAAGAACCUUACCAGGUCUUGACAUCCCUGACAACCCGAGAGAUCGGGCGUUCCCCUUCGGGGGACAGGGUGACAGGUGGUGCAUGGUUGUCGUCAGCUCGUGUCGUGAGAUGUUGGGUUAAGUCCCGCAACGAGCGCAACCCUCGACCUUAGUUGCCAGCAUUCAGUUGGGCACUCUAAGGUGACUGCGGCUAAAAGUCGGAGGAAGGUGGGGAUGACGUCAAAUCAUCAUGCCCCUUAUGACCUGGGCUACACACGUGCUACAAUGGGCGGUACAAAGGGUCGCGAACCCGCGAGGGGGAGCCAAUCCCAAAAAGCCGCUCUCAGUUCGGAUUGCAGGCUGCAACUCGCCUGCAUGAAGCCGGAAUCGCUAGUAAUCGCGGAUCAGCAUGCCGCGGUCGAAUACGUUCCCGGGCCUU
rnacentral:rRNA from 1 species